rnacentral:rRNA from 1 species
UACAGAGGUGCCAAGCGUUAGGCGGAAUCACUGGGCGUUAAAGCGCGCGUAGGCGGAUGUUUAAGUGAUCUUGUGGAAAUCCCCAAUGGCUCAACCGUGGAAACUGCUGGGCAUACUGGAACAUCUCGAGGCACUCAGGGGCGAGCGGAACAAGUGGUGGAGCGGAUGAAAUGCGUAGAUAUCACUUGGAACGCCAAUGGUGAAGACAGCUCGCUGGGGGUGUCCUGACGCUGAGGCGCG